UAGGGAAUCUUCGGCAAUGGACGAAAGUCUGACCGAGCAACGCCGCGUGAGUGAAGAAGGUUUUCGGAUCGUAAAACUCUGUUGUUAGAGAAGAACAAGGACGUUAGUAACUGAACGUCCCCUGACGGUAUCUAACCAGAAAGCCACGGCUAACUACGUGCCAGCAGCCGCGGUAAUACGUAGGUGGCAAGCGUUGUCCGGAUUUAUUGGGCGUAAAGCGAGCGCAGGCGGUUUCUUAAGUCUGAUGUGAAAGCCCCCGGCUCAACCGGGGAGGGUCAUUGGAAACUGGGAGACUUGAGUGCAGAAGAGGAGAGUGGAAUUCCAUGUGUAGCGGUGAAAUGCGUAGGUAUAUGGCGGAACACCAGUGGCGAAGGCGGCUCUCUGGUCUGUAACUGACGCUGAGGCUCGAAAGCGUGGGGAGCAAACAGG
rnacentral:rRNA from 1 species